rnacentral:pre_miRNA from 12 species
GGAAGAAGCUGGGGAGACCCGAAAGUCCUCUAGCAGCACAUCAUGGUUUACAUGUUCUUGCCCAGAUGCGAAUCAUUAUUUGCUGCUUUAGGAAUUUAAGGGGAGAGUCAUGGAAGAGGU